GUGUGUGUGUGUGUGUGUGUGUGUGUGUGUGGGUGCGGUUUUGGGGGUUGAAGUCACCCCAGUGGUUGAAUGCCAAGUUUUUCAGGGGGAUAUGAAGCUGUGCAGCUUUACGAGACCUCAGCCUGUGUAGGAUACUUAGACACUCACACCACAGACACACACACGCACACAAUGUACAAUAUAUGCAUGGGUUGCAUAUAUACACACACAUACACACACGUACAGCACAUACAUGGCCACAGAUGUCUGGUGGUCAAAGAUACGCUGGCACAAGCAACAAGAAAGGGAAUAA